AUUAGCUACAGUGGCCUCCUGGGAUCACCAUUUGCAAUAUAAGCCCAGUGACUUAAAGGAGAGAGUGGAGAGGAAUCAUGGUAAGGCUUGUAACUCCAAGGAUGAAGAACAACCAGGGCUUGGGGAUGGGUGAAGAAUCUUCUGAAGAAGUGACCUGGCUACUCUUAUAAAGGUCUGUGCUUCCGCCUGCACGGUCAUCACUGCUGUUGACAUAAAAUACAGAAUUUAUCAUGAGCCAUUCCCUGCUUAAACACCUACUAUGGUGCCCCAUUCGAAUCCAAGCAGGGUGUUUAAGGUGCUUCAGACUCUGUCUUGAUCCUCCUCUUGCAGAUUACUCCCUGCCACUACCCUAUGGGGAGUCUCUUGCCACAUCCUCCAUGCUCUAAAUCUCUAUGGCUUUGGCUCAUCCAGGGUGAUGUGACUGUUGCUUCCUCUGCCUGGCUUGUCCUCUUCUCUCUGUUAACUCCUGCUCUUUGUCAAGAUCUAGCUCAGAUUAUUAUUUCCUCUCUGAAGACUCUUCUUGGUAAAGUUGCUCGCUCUGCACUGCUUCCUCAGAUCUUUGUGCACUUGUUACGUGCUUUUUAAUUUGUUUUAUGGCUCUAUCUCCCUAACUAGACUGAAAGCACUUGAGGAUGGUGACCUUUUCAUAGUCUUUUUGUUAUUUGGGCACUUAACACAUAGCAGCUGCCCCAUGAUUGCUGGUCCCUUUUCUUUCUCUCCUCGCCAACCACCCACCCUGUUGUCAGACUGAAAUAAGCCCAAAAGUCCAUGGAAGUUGGACAGCUGUAUUGACAACUGAGCUAUGUCCAGGAUCAAGCUAUCUCUUCUUAACUGCUUAGCAUGCUUCUAAGCAUGGUUCAGGGAAGCCAGGACAACAGAAGAGUUCAGAUAAGGUGGCCAAAAGUCCUGGAAUAGUCAAAACAAUUCCUGCUUCCCUGUGGUUAUCCUAAGGAAGACCAAUGUGUCAUUUUCCCCUGGGAGCAUCUCAGGGGCUGGCUUUUACUUGUUUCAGGAACAACUUUGCACACAUGACCACAGCCAUUGCUUUGGCAUCUCUUUCCCCUAGACAGGAUUUGUUUCCUGGGCACAUGUUGACACAAAUACCAUAGGUUCCUUUUGGCAGGUCCAGGUGCCUACCUAUUUCAAAAGGUUGUUUUAGGAAUGAAACUGGAUACUGUUCAAGUUCCAACCACAUUGUGACCUCAUCCACUACUACCCACCUACCAGGUCCUCACAUGUGAACUCUCCCUGCACUCAUGAUUGCCCUGCCACACGAGUGUUGGUUGGAGUAUUGUUUAGAAGCAAAUCAGCCUUCAAUGUGUACCAUGGGCAGCUAUUAGGCAUGAAAAUCUGCCAGCUGCCCUAUAAUUUCUAUGAACAAAGGGAUCCCUACAACAAGGGAAAGCUGGAUUCCCACAGAAAGAGACUAGGCAAAGGCAUUUGGUCCAUUUGUAUUGUAAGGCCUAAAACUUCAAGAGCUGCCUUAAAGUGCUUUCAAGUUCUCACAGGGUCCAAAGGUCUAACCCUGAGUUCUCCUGCUCUUUGAAUGUGCUCCCCCCUCCACCACCCAGUGGGAGAGGCUCCCCACCUGGCUAGUUCCUCUAUUAUCAGAUCAGCUGCACCCACCCAGUUCUUAACCUAUGAGUCUCAAGUCCCUGUCAGCCCACAAAAAAAGCUAAUCACAUCUUCCUGCAGGAGUACUUUUAAUGGCAAAAACCACGAUUACCCUUGCACCAUCCUAAUGCAAAGCCUGCCUUCCACAGCCUCUGCUGGUUCACCCUGCUCCCAAGUGGAACCUCUGUGGGUCACUGCAUGGCAUGCAGUAUCCUCCUCCCUCAGGCUGCUGUGAGACAGAGCAUAGAACCUGUGUCAGGUCACAGGAGAGUGAUCCCCCAACACUUUGGGCCAUGUUCCAACCCUGCCUGCCCCAAUUCCCAUUGUGUAAAAUCCAUCUGCAACCUAUGCCAGAUAUUAAUGCAUUUAAUC
rnacentral:lncRNA from 1 species